UCAGUCCAGGCUUGGGGCAAGAGGCAGUAUUGAGAUGAAAGAGGAUGUGGAGUCUGCUUGCCCUCCUUCCUGAGUAGCAUUGAGCUGGGACCCUAGAGCUUGACCUUCUGCGGGUGGGAUGGGGCAAACCUGGGGGACCGGCACCUCACUCGCCACCUCUAGAAAGUGCUAUGCUUUUUCUGGGGGUCGGGUGUGAAACUCGUGGAUCCUGUAAAUUUUAACCCUCCUCGGUGGAACUUCCAUUAUUUCCAUUUCUUGUAGGUAUUGUU
rnacentral:lncRNA from 1 species